GAAUCAGCCUUGGUUGAGCAUCCAUCAAGACCACAUUUUUUUCAACUUUUGACCUCGGAUCAGGUAGGGAUACCCGCUGAACUUAAGCAUAUCAAUAAGCGGAGGAAAAGAAACCAACAGGGAUUGCCCUAGUAACGGCGAGUGAAGCGGCAACAGCUCAAAUUUGAAAUCUGGCUCUUUUAGGGUCCGAGUUGUAAUUUGCAGAGGGCGCUUUGGCUUUGGCAGCGGUCCAAGUUCCUUGGAACAGGACGUCACAGAGGGUGAGAAUCCCGUACGUGGUCGCUAGCUAUCGCCGUGUAAAGCCCCUUCGACGAGUCGAGUUGUUUGGGAAUGCAGCUCUAAAUGGGAGGUAAAUUUCUUCUAAAGCUAAAUAUUGGCCAGAGACCGAUAGCGCACAAGUAGAGUGAUCGAAAGAUGAAAAGCACUUUGGAAAGAGAGUCAAACAGCACGUGAAAUUGUUGAAAGGGAAGCGCUUGCAGCCAGACUUGCUUGCAGUUGCUCAUCCGGGCUUUUGCCCGGUGCACUCUUCUGUAGGCAGGCCAGCAUCAGUUUGGGCGGUGGGAUAAAGGUCUCUGUCACGUACCUCUCUUCGGGGAGGCCUUAUAGGGGAGACGACAUACCACCAGCCUAGACUGAU
rnacentral:sRNA from 1 species